rnacentral:rRNA from 1 species
CAGUCCUUAUCAUUUAGAGGAAGGAGAAGUCGUAACAAGGUUUCCGUAGGUGAACCUGCGGAAGGAUCAUUGUCGUGACCCUGACCAAAAUAGACCGCGCACUCGUUAUCCAUCCCGUCGAUGGCGGCAUUGACCGCCAUUCGGCCAAGUCCCCGACCACCUCCCCUCCUCGGAGGGGGGGCCGGGGCAACAGAACCCACGGCGCCGACGGCGUCAAGGAACACUAUGCCUAACCCGAGGGUGUGGCUGGCUUGCUAGCCACCCCUCGUGUUGCGAUGCUAUCUAAACCACACGACUCUCGGCAACGGAUAUCUCGGCUCUCGCAUCGAUGAAGAACGUAGCGAAAUGCGAUACCUGGUGUGAAUUGCAGAAUCCCGCGAACCAUCGAGUCUUUGAACGCAAGUUGCGCCCGAGGCCACCCGGCUGAGGGCACGCCUGCCUGGGCGUCACGCCAAUACACGCUCCCACCUCCCUCAAUGGGUAGUGGGAUGCGGAUUCUGGCCUUCCGUGCUGUGAGGCGCGGCAGGCCGAAGAUCGGGCUGCCGGCGUAUCGUGCCGGACACAGCGCGUGGUGGACUUCUACUUAGCGCAGUUCCAGCACGUAGCCGGCGUAGUGGCCCCAAGGACCCAACGAACGGAGCGCAUGUCGCUCCGACCGCGACCCCAGGUCAGGCGGGACUACCCGCUGAGUUUAAGCAUAUCAAUAAGCGGAGGAU